AAACAGUUCAUACAAAAGACUCGUAUAUUCCCGAGGUUAUGGCUUAGGAAGUCUCUACCUGCUAUCCGUAAAUUAGCAGACUACGAGGUAGUGUUUUGGUUUU
rnacentral:ncRNA from 2 species